rnacentral:tRNA from 1 species
GCGGAUAUAGUCGAAUGGUAAAAUUUCUCCUUGCCAAGGAGAAGA